AAUGAACGCUGGCGGCGUGCGUAACACAUGCAAGUCGAACGGACCUGAUCUUCGGAAAAGGUUAGUGGCGUACGGGUGAGUAACACGUAGGUGACCUGCCCCAGAGUGGGGGAUAACUUCUCGAAAGAGAAGCUAAUACCGCAUACGCUCAGCCAUUCAGUUGGUUGAGUAAAGCUCCGGCGCUCUGGGAGGGGCCUGCGUCCGAUUAGCUAGUUGGUGGGGUAAUGGCCUACCAAGGCGAUGAUCGGUAGCUGGUCUGAGAGGACGAUCAGCCACACUGGCACUGACACACGGGCCAGACACCUACGGGAGGCUG
rnacentral:rRNA from 1 species